GAUUCCUACGGGAGGCAGUAGUGGGGAAUAUUGGACAAUGGGCGCAAGCCUGAUCCAGCCAUGCCGCGUGAGUGAAGAAGGCCUUCGGGUUGUAAAGCUCUUUUGUCCGGAAAGAAAUCCUGUCGGCUAAUACCCGGCGGGGAUGACGGUACCGGAAGAAUAAGCACCGGCUAACUUCGUGCCAGCAGCCGCGGUAAUACGAAGGGUGCAAGCGUUACUCGGAAUUACUGGGCGUAAAGCGUGCGUAGGUGGUUCGUCAAGUCUGAUGUGAAAGCCCUGGGCUCAACCUGGGAACUGCAUUGGAUACUGGCGAUCUGGAGUGCGGUAGAGGGUAGCGGAAUUCCCGGUGUAGCAGUGAAAUGCGUAGAUAUCGGGAGGAACAUCCGUGGCGAAGGCGGCUACCUGGACCAGCACUGACACUGAGGCACGAAAGCGUGGGGAGCAAACAGGAUUAGAUACCCUGGUAGUCCACGCCCUAAACGAUGCGAACUGGAUGUUGGGUGCAACUUGGCACUCAGUAUCGAAGCUAACGCGUUAAGUUCGCCGCCUGGGAAGUACGGUCGCAAGACUGA
rnacentral:rRNA from 1 species